GAAGCUGUCAAUGGCUAUAAGCACCUCACGGAAGUGACCAACUUGGUUGAUGUAUCUCUAAGAUGUCCAGCCUUUUCAAAGAAGAUAUGACACUGGUAGCUGUAACAACCACCUAAUUUCACAUUGUUUGCAAGUAUAGCUAGAGAACAAUUCAUUUCCUGAGUUCUUGUAACAAAAAGAACAGUUACUGCACAUCCUUUUAUCAUAGCUUGAAACAAGCUACUAAGAUGCUGCUCUUUUACCCCCAACACAUGGUAGUGCAUCAAUCUCCUUUUUUC
rnacentral:lncRNA from 1 species